rnacentral:rRNA from 1 species
UACGUAGGGGGCUAGCGUUGUCCGGAAUUAUUGGGCGUAAAGCGCGUGUAGGCGGUUCGAUAAGUCUGCUGUGAAAGUCGAGGGCUCAACCCUCGAAAGCCGGUGGAUACUGUCGAACUGGAGUACGGAAGAGGCGAGUGGAAUUCCAGGUGUAGCGGUGAAAUGCGUAGAUAUCUGGAGGAACACCGGUGGCGAAGGCGGCAUCCUGGACCGGCAUUGACGCUGAGGCGCGAAAGCCAGGGGAGCAAACGGG